rnacentral:rRNA from 1 species
AUUGAACGCUGGCGGCAGGCCUAACACAUGCAAGUCGAACGGUAACAGGAAGAAGCUUGCUUCUUUGCUGACGCGUGGCGGACGGGUGAGUAAUGUGUGGGACACUGCCUGAUGGAGGGGGAUAACUCCUGGAAACGGUAGCUAAUACCGCAUAACGUCGCAAGCCCAAAAAGGGGGACCUUCGGGCGUCUUGCCAUCGGCUGUGCCCAGAUGGGAUUAGCUAGUAGGUGGGGUAACGGCUAACCUAGGCGACGAUCCCUAGCUGGUCUGAGAGGAUGACCAGCCACACUGGAACUGAGACACGGUCCAGACUCCUACGGGAGGCAGCAGUGGGGAAUAUUGCACAAUGGGCGCAAGCCUGAUGCAGCCAUGCCGCGUGUAUGAAGAAGGCCUUCGGGUUGUAAAGUACUUUCAGCGGGGAGGAAGGGAGGAAUGUUAAUACCUGUGCGCAUUGACGUUACCCGCAGAAGAAGCACCGGCUAACUCCGUG